rnacentral:rRNA from 1 species
AGAGUUUGAUCAUGGCUCAGAUUGAACGCUGCCGGCAUGCUUUACACAUGCAAGUCGAACGGUAACAGGUCUUCAGAUGCUGACGAGUGGCGAACGGGUGAGUAAUACAUCGGAACGUGCCUAGUAGUGGGGGAUAACUACUCGAAAGAGUAGCUAAUACCGCAUGAGAUCUACGGAUGAAAGCAGGGGACCUUCGGGCCUUGUGCUACUAGAGCGGCUGAUGGCAGAUUAGGUAGUUGGUGGGGUAAAGGCUUACCAAGCCUGCGAUCUGUAGCUGGUCUGAGAGGACGACCAGCCACACUGGGACUGAGACACGGCCCAGACUCCUACGGGAGGCAGCAGUGGGGAAUUUUGGACAAUGGGCGAAAGCCUGAUCCAGCAAUGCCGCGUGCAGGAUGAAGGCCCUCGGGUUGUAAACUGCUUUUGUACGGAACGAAAAGCCUGGGGCUAAUAUCUCCGGGUCAUGACGGUACCGUAAGAAUAAGCACCGGCUAACUACGUGCCAGCAGCCGCGGUUAUACGUAGGGUGCAAGCGUUAAUCGGAAUUAUUGGGCGUAAAGCGUGCGCAGGCGGUUUUGUAAGACAGUGGUGAAAUCCCCGGGCUCAACCUGGGAACUGCCAUUGUGACUGCAAGGCUAGAGUGCGGCAGAGGGGGAUGGAAUUCCGCGUGUAGCAGUGAAAUGCGUAGAUAUGCGGAGGAACACCGAUGGCGAAGGCAAUCCCCUGGGCCUGCACUGACGCUCAUGCACGAAAGCGUGGGGAGCAAACAGGAUUAGAUACCCUGGUAGUCCACGCCCUAAACGAUGUCAACUGGUUGUUGGGUCUUAACUGACUCAGUAACGAAGCUAACGCGUGAAGUUGACCGCCUGGGGGAGUACGGCCGCAAGGGUUGAAACUCAAAGGAAAUUGACGG